rnacentral:rRNA from 1 species
GAUGAACGCUAGCUACAGGCUUAACACAUGCAAGUCGAGGGGCAGCAUGACGGAAGCUUGCUUCCGUUGAUGGCGACCGGCGCACGGGUGAGUAACGCGUAUCCAACCUGCCCUUGUCCAUCGGAUAACCCGUCGAAAGGCGGACUAACACGAAAUGCAGUUCACCGCAGGCAUCUAACGUGAACGAAAUGUGAAGGAGAAGGAUGGGGAUGCGUCUGAUUAGCUUGUUGGCGGGGUAACGGCCCACCAAGGCGACGAUCAGUAGGGGUUCUGAGAGGAAGGUCCCCAACAUUGGAACUGAGACACGGUCCAAACUCCUACGGGAGGCAGCAGUGAGGAAUAUUGGUCAAUGGGCGAGAGCCUGAACCAGCCAAGUAGCGUGCAGGAUGACGGCCCUAUGGGUUGUAAACUGCUUUUAUAUGGGGAUAAAGUGAGCCACGUGUGGCUUAUUGCAGGUACCGUAUGAAUAAGGACCGGCUAAUUCCGUGCCAGCAGCCGCCGCCG